rnacentral:lncRNA from 1 species
GAGAAACCGCAUGUCCUUGGGUGUCCGCCAGCGCCCGGGUGCUUGCCGGGGAGCGAGCGUGUGUGUGUGUGUGCGCGGAUGUAGAUACGUGUCUGUGCGCGCCUUUGCGUGUGUGUGCGUGCGUGCCUGGGAGCGCGUGCCUGUGCAGGGCAGGGUAGAAGAAUGGGAGCAGCUGAUGUGAAAGCUGCACCUUUGCUGGUUACAGCGCGUCAUUAUUUUUUAUCAGAUGUAUCCUGUUUAGCAAUCUCAUUGUUUAAACAAAAAUUCGAAGCCAUAUGGCAAAGGUGGGGGCGGGGGGAGGCGUUAAAAUUUUGCAGAAAUUGAAUGGGCAAAAGAACGAUUCUGAAUGGUGGUUAAAAAUGAGAACAUAUGGACAGGAUGGAUACACUCCAACUUCAUGUUGGGGUUCAUCUCUCAGGAGAGAGGCCAUGGAUAGUAUCUGUGAAUGGUUUAAAGGUGGAGCCUGUUAUAUU